rnacentral:misc_RNA from 1 species
GAUGAAGAACGCAGCGAAACGCGAUAAGUAAUGUGAAUUGCAGAAUUCAGUGAAUCAUCGAAUCUUUGAACGCACAUUGCGCCCGCUGGUAUUCCGGCGGGCAUGCCUGUUCGAGCGUCAUUUCAACCCUCAAGCUCUCCGGAGUUUGGUGUUGGGGCGCCUGGGGCUUUUCGACCUCAGGGCCCUCAAGUCCAUCGGCGGGACCGCCAGGACACUGAGCGCAGUAGUAUUAUUUCGCUCGGUAGGAUCUUCCACGGCGGGUCGAUCUGGCCGCUAAACCCCCCAAUUCUCACCAAAGGUUGACCUCGGAUCAGGUAGGAAUACCCGCUGAACUUAAGCAUAUCAAUAAGCGGAGGA